UAUUUUAAUUUAAUAUCAUAUGGGUGACCUUUGGCAUCAGAAGAACCAAUGCUGCACCUUGGAGAAACUGACUUCAGAAACUGCAGAGCUUUCAUUAAGCAUUCCUGAAGCAUUUGACAUGAGCAUAAGUAUGAUAAAAGGAAAAGGAAAUACAACCUGUAAUGGAAAGUCACCAUGAGGAACACAUUGGAAUGGACAUGUGGACUGAACGGUUCUCUGCACUGAAGAAAGUUGCAUCCUAGAGACAAGGAAAUGUCUCUCAAAGUCGGAUGUGCUGGAGGCUUGGUUCCCGAGGCAGCAAUGUUCAGAGGUGGGACUCUUGGAAAAUGACUGGCUUGCCUUCAUCAGUGGAUCAGCCCAUUCAUGGAUUUAUUAUUUGAUGUCUUUGCUGUGAGGUGUUUUCCAGGUCACAACCACUUACCUCAGCCACUCCAUCCAGCAGCCUCCCUAGCACUUCCCGCCUCUUCAGUUUGGC